UAGGGUUUGAUCCUGGCUCAGGAUGAACGCUAGCGGCAGGCCUAAUACAUGCAAGUCGAACGGGAUUUGAGUAGCAAUACUUAAUGAGAGUGGCGCACGGGUGCGUAACGCGUAUGCAACCUACCUUUAACAGGGGGAUAGCUCCGAGAAAUCGAAAUUAAUACCCCAUAGAAUUAUUGAUUGGCAUCAAUUAAUAAUUAAAGCUCCGGCGGUUAAAGAUGGGCAUGCGUGCCAUUAGCUAGUUGGUGAGGUAACGGCUCACCAAGGCAACGAUGGCUAGGGGUUCUGAGAGGAUUAUCCCCCACACUGGUACUGAGACACGGACCAGACUCCUACGGGAGGCAGCAGUAAGGAAUAUUGGGCAAUGGACGCAAGUCUGACCCAGCCAUGCCGCGUGCAGGAAGACAGCCCUAUGGGUUGUAAACUGCUUUUGUCAGGGAAUAAACCCCCGGAUGUAUCCGGGGCUGAAUGUACCUGAAGAAUAAGCAUCGGCUAACUCCGUGCCAGCAGCCGCGGU
rnacentral:rRNA from 1 species